rnacentral:rRNA from 1 species
GAGACCGGGAGAGGUUAGACGGUACUCCCAGGGUAGAGGUGAAAUUCUGUAAUCCUGGGAGGACCGCCUGUUGCGAAGGCGUCUAGCUGGAACGGUUCUGACGGUGAGGGACGAAAGUUAGGGGCGCGAACCGGAUUAGAUACCCCGGGUAGUCCUAACUGUAAACGAUGCGGACUUGGUGUUGGGUGGCUUUGAGCUGCUUCAGUGCCGAAGGGAAGCUGUUAAGUCCGCCGCCUGGGAAGUACGGUCGCAAGACUGAAACUUAAAGGAAUUGGCGGGGAGCACCACAACGCGUGGAGCCUGCGGUUUAAUUGGAUUCAACGCCGGACAUCUCACCAGAGGCGACAGCUGUAUGAUAGCCAGGUUGAUGACUUUGCUUGACUAGCUGAGGGGAGGUGCAUGG